rnacentral:rRNA from 1 species
CAGUCGCCGCGGGAAUACGGAGGGUGCAAGCGUUAAUCGGAAUUACUGGGCGUAAAGCGUGCGUAGGCGGUUCGUUAAGUCUGUUGUGAAAGCCCCGGGCUUAACCUGGGAACUGCAUUUGUGACUGGCGAGCUAGAGUAUGGCAGAGGGGGGUAGAAUUCCACGUGUAGCAGUGAAAUGCGUAGAGAUGUGGAGGAAUACCAAUGGCGAAGGCAGCCCCCUGGGCCAAUACUGACGCUCAUGCACGAAAGCGUGGGGAGCAAACAGGAUUAGAUACCCCGGUAGUCCCUGUCUCUUAUAC